CAUGAUAGUAUGGUUAGUAGUUGCAAUCGUUUAAAUGGUGAACCAUCUAGUCCAUAAGGUCACUUUCUUAUGAGUGCGCACAUUUUUUGUGAACUAAAUAAUAUUCAAUUUAAGUUGACAAGCUUUGAACAAAGGCUUGGAAAGUUGGAAGAACUUUUUUGUAAUGAUCCUGUUGAUCAGAAUAUCAGCCAAAUCCAGUUCCCCAAUUUCAAUUCUGUAUUACAAUAUUCUGAAGUUAAAAAGCACCCAAAGAAUAUGCUGUUAUGGAUGAUGCUUGAAGGAGGGUUGACUGCCUGUGACCAUAUUUCAAGAGUGCUUAAUAAGUAGCUGACACAUGACACACAAAAAAAUGAUCAACAGGCCCAGAACACAUGGCAAAAGUUUUUUGAUUACCUGGAAAAUCUGCUUAAAAUUUUAACUAUUCACUUAUUCCCCGGCAUCACGAAAAACGAAGUUGAGUUAGAAGUUGUACGAUUUUUUAUUAACGUCAAAGAUUGCCCUGGUGGUCGGCUGCGGUGCUGUAAGAAAACAGCAGUUUCGAUUGACGCGAAAGAUACAGACAGUGACGAGAGAAGUAAAGAGGACAACGAAGAUAACGCUCCACGAUUAAAGAAGCGAAAGACAUCUUUAAAUAAAUAAUAUCUUGUAUUUUGAAUAGCAUUGCUAUGUAAAUAAUAUGUAGUAUAUAACAGUUUAUGUAACAUGAA
rnacentral:lncRNA from 1 species